GGUCAAUGAUGCGAUGUAAAAGGUCUGAUGUCCAAGUCACCUUACAGUCCCUCCAACCCUCCCAGCAGCCCCUGCAAAUGUUUCCCAGCAUGCUCUAGUUGUGCAUUGCUGGUUUGAGGUGGCAGCUGAUAUUAUUGCCGAUUCUGCUGAAUACGGGUCUUUUAGAGAUUUAAGUGAGACCCGAAACAGCUGCGUCCAACAUCAGCACAACACACGGGAGGGCGGACUUAAGGAGAGUGGUCGACUGAUCUCAAAAAUCAUACUGAGACC